rnacentral:rRNA from 1 species
UACGGAGGGUGCGAGCGCUGUCCGGAAUUAUUGGGCGUAAAGAGCUCGUAGGCGGUUUGUCGCGUCUGCUGUGAAAACUCGGGGCUUAACCCCGGGCCUGCAGUGGGUACGGGCAGACUAGAGUGCGGUAGGGGAGACUGGAAUUCCUGGUGUAGCGGUGAAAUGCGCAGAUAUCAGGAGGAACACCGGUGGCGAAGGCGGGUCUCUGGGCCGUAACUGACGCUGAGGAGCGAAAGCAUGGGGAGCGAACAGG